AUCCUUCCUGCCCUGUGACUCUCCCACAGCGUCCGGUCCUGGCUGAAGUUAGAAGAGCUACGCUUUCACAUCCCGCAUCUAAGAUGCGGUACAAAGCACGAGGCCCUGAGCCCAAGAAGCCGAGUGUUCCUGCGGAGGGGGAGUUUUUGGGAAUUCGCAGCACUACUUCUAAGGGGCCAUUAAUCUCUCUCCCGCCCAGGGCUCCAGGACCCUCAACUUGUUCGAGGGCUAGGAGAAAGGGAAGCUGUGGAAACCUGCAAGCAGGUUUAAAUCCGAGCCCUACUGGGGCCACCCCAAGGCUUGAAAUCACCUCUCCACUCUGGAUGCUGGAGUUAAGGCUCUCGUUCCUCACCUGGGGUUUGGAAUAUGCCCAGAGUAGGAUUUCAGAGCUGGAAGAGGCCUCAUGUUCUGGAAAAGACGUGUGUGGUCCAAGCCCUCCUGCCUGAGACAGCAGUCAGAGAGGGAAAGACUGCCCCGGAAUGGAUUUAGGAACCCAGGACUCUUGACAAAGACUGCUAAUUCAGCAGCUGGCAGCUGGGGAGCGGACUGCCUGAUUCCUCUGCGGUUCCACAGUUUCUCCAGGGAGGAUUGGAGAGUCCUGGGUGCCUCCCUGUGGGAUGGUGGCACCCUCUGCUGGUCGUGAGCCUUGUGGUGGAACUAUCUCCAGACUCAAAGCCGUCUGGUGCUCGGCGCCACCUGGAAACCUUGCCAUAUUUUGGGAUCCCAUACAGCAUUUGUUCCUCCAGGAGGAUCUGUAGUGAGCUGGUAACUGAGUUCACACUGAGGAAGUUGUGAGGAGGGAGAUGCUGCCGGUUAAAAGUACUCCACAGCACGGCUCCAGAGCUCAGCCUUCUCUGCCCCACCUCCUCUUAUGCCACGCCCCUUGCCUAGCAUCUGUUCCCCUCCUCCAAUUAGCCUUACCCAGGCCUCCUGCCUCUCCAGAAUGUCCCUUACCUCCUCAUGCCUCUUAGCAAAUCCCCUGUGGAUCUGCUCCUGAGAAAUCUAUACUUCGUCUGCAACUUAUGUCGAAGCAGGUGUCUUGUUCCCAGGGAGUUCAUGUUUCCCAGUUCUUUGGCUCCAGCUGCUCCAUCCUAAGAUGGGGUUUAAGGGUGGGGGGAGGGGAGACCUGGGUAGCAUGGGAUUAGUAGAGGCUGUCUAACGGACAAAGCCCCUUCUCACUUCUUUAAGGACAACCCCUUGCCAAGUCUCCCACCAAUCCACAAUUCCCUGUGACCCCACAGACCUGCUUAAGUUCUGGGGAACCCUCGGAAAGUUGGAGCACUAGAGCUGCGAAAGUUCAGACGCUGUAGAGUCCCAGUGAGUCAGUUACUUCAGGGCACAGAACUAGCAAGGAUGAAUAAAUAGCUCUAUGGAUGCCGCCUCUGCUUCUGUGUGGGAGGGGGGAGGGGAGGGGAUGGGGAGGGGAGUUAGCAGCAAGAGAGGGCCUGGGGCUCAGCUGGCUCUCUGGUACACCAGGAAUGAUGGGCUGGGCCUCAGCUGCAUGACAUCACUGCUUGCAGGAGGUAUAGAACAGCCGGUGGGCAGCUGGCUGGGCAGGGAAUGCUUGUUUUCUUAAUGACUCCUAUUGCCUAACAGCGUUCUCGCGGUACA
rnacentral:lncRNA from 1 species